rnacentral:rRNA from 1 species
CUACGGGGGGCUGCAGUGGGGAAUAUUGCACAAUGGACGAAAGUCUGAUGCAGCAACGCCGCGUGGAGGAUGACACAUUUCGGUGCGUAAACUCCUUUUAUAUCCCAAGAUAAUGACGGUAGGAUAUGAAUAAGCGCCGGCUAACUCCGUGCCAGCAGCCGCGGUAAUACGGAGGGCGCAAGCGUUACUCGGAAUCACUGGGCGUAAAGAGCGUGUAGGCGGAUAGAUAAGUUGGGAGUGAAAUCCUAUGGCUUAACCAUAGAAUUGCUUCCAAAACUGUCUAUCUAGAAUAUGGGAGAGGUAGAUGGAAUUUCUGGUGUAGGGGUAAAAUCCGUAGAGAUCAGAAGGAAUACCGAUUGCGAAGGCGAUCUACUGGAACAUUAUUGACGCUGAGACGCGAAAGCGUGGGGAGCAAACAGGAUUAGAUACCCGCGUAGUC